CAGUAGCCGCGGGAAUACGGAGGGAGCUAGCGUUGUUCGGAAUUACUGGGCGUAAAGCGCACGUAGGCGGCUUUGUAAGUUAGAGGUGAAAGCCUGGAGCUCAACUCCAGAAUUGCCUUUAAGACUGCAUCGCUUGAAUCCAGGAGAGGUGAGUGGAAUUCCGAGUGUAGAGGUGAAAUUCGUAGAUAUUCGGAAGAACACCAGUGGCGAAGGCGGCUCACUGGACUGGUAUUGACGCUGAGGUGCGAAAGCGUGGGGAGCAAACAGGAUUAGAUACCCCGGUAGUCCCUGUCUCUUAUAC
rnacentral:rRNA from 1 species